rnacentral:sRNA from 1 species
GCCGGGCGCAGUGAUGCAUAUCUGUAAUCCCAGUAGCUCGGGAGGCUGAGGCAGGAGGAUCGUGAGUUCAAAGCCAGCCUCAGCAAUGAUGAGGCACUAAGCAACUCAGUGAGACCCUGUCUCUA